rnacentral:rRNA from 1 species
AAUGGGAAUCUUCGGCAAUGGACGAAAGUCUGACCGAGCAACGCCGCGUGAGUGAAGAAGGUUUUCGGAUCGUAAAACUCUGUUGUUAGAGAAGAACAGGAUGAGAGUAGAACGUUCAUCCCUUGACGGUAUCUAACCAGAAAGCCACGGCUAACUACGGGCCAGCAGCCCGCGGUAAUACAAAA